GGCUGGUCCAAGUGCAGUGGCGUUUACACUUAACUGAUCACAGCAAGUUACAGAUUUCUUUGUUCUUUCACUACUCCCACUGCUUCACUUGACCCAAAA
ensembl:misc_RNA Y_RNA Y RNA